rnacentral:rRNA from 1 species
CACGUAGGGUGCGAGCGUUGUCCGGAAUUAUUGGGCGUAAAGAGCUCGUAGGCGGUCCGUCAACGUCGGGAUCGUGAAAUUCCAGGGCUCAACCCUGGACCUGCAUUCGAUACGGGCGGACUAGAGUUCGGGUAGGGGAGACUGGAAUUCCUGGUGUAGCGGUGAAAUGCGCAGAUAUCAGGAGGAACACCGGUGGCGAAGGCGGGUCUCUGGGCCGAAACUGACGCUGAGGAGCGAAAGCGUGGGGAGCGAACAGGA